rnacentral:rRNA from 1 species
GAUGAACGCUGGCGGCGUGCCUAAUACAUGCAAGUCGAGCGAACAGAUAAGGAGCUUGCUCCUUUGACGUUAGCGGCGGACGGGUGAGUAACACGUGGGUAACCUACCUAUAAGACUGGAAUAACUCCGGGAAACCGGGGCUAAUGCCGGAUAACAUUUAGAACCGCAUGGUUCUAAAGUGAAAGAUGGUUUUGCUAUCACUUAUAGAUGGACCCGCGCCGUAUUAGCUAGUUGGUAAGGUAACGGCUUACCAAGGCAACGAUACGUAGCCGACCUGAGAGAGUGGACGGACACACGGGAACAGAGAAAGGGUACAGACUCCGAGGGGAGGCAGCGGUAGGGAAUCUUCCGCAAUGGGCGAGAGGCUGACAGAGGAAAACGGGGGGAGGGAUGAAGGAGUUAGGAUGGGAAAACGAUGUUAUUAGGAAAGAACAAAAGUGUAAGUAACUGUGAAGGUCUUGACGGUACCUAAUCAGAAAGCCACGGCUAACUACGUG